rnacentral:snRNA from 1 species
GUGCUGCUUCAGCAGCACAUAUAUUAAAACUGGAGCUACACAGAGAUUAGCGUGCUCCCUGCAUAGAGAUGACAUGCAAAUUUUUCUAUUACUUGGAAUGGUU